AUUGAACGCUGGCGGCAGGCCUAACACAUGCAAGUCGAGCGGAUGAAGGGAGCUUGCUCCUGGAUUCAGCGGCGGACGGGUGAGUAAUGCCUAGGAAUCUGCCUGGUAGUGGGGGAUAACGUCCGGAAACGGGCGCUAAUACCGCAUACGUCCUGAGGGAGAAAGUGGGGGAUCUUCGGACCUCACGCUAUCAGAUGAGCCUAGGUCGGAUUAGCUAGUUGGUGGGGUAAAGGCCUACCAAGGCGACGAUCCGUAACUGGUCUGAGAGGAUGAUCAGUCACACUGGAACUGAGACACGGUCCAGACUCCUACGGGAGGCAGCAGUGGGGAAUAUUGGACAACGGGCGAAAGCCUGAUCCAGCCAUGCCGCGUGUGAAGAAGGUCUUCGGAUUGUAAAGCACUUUAAGUUGGGAGGAAGGGCAGUAAGUUAAUACCUUGCUGUUUUGACGUUACCAACAGAAUAAGCACCGGCUAACUUCGUG
rnacentral:rRNA from 1 species